UACGGAGGGUGCAAGCGUUAAUCGGAAUUACUGGGCGUAAAGCGUGCGCAGGCGGCUUCUCAAGUCAGGGGUGAAAGCCCAGAGCUCAACUCUGGAAUUGCCUUUGAGACUGAGUGGCUUGAGUACGAGAGAGGUGAGUGGAAUUCCCAGUGUAGAGGUGAAAUUCGUAGAUAUUGGGAAGAACACCGGUGGCGAAGGCGGCUCACUGGCUCGUAACUGACGCUCAUGCACGACAGCGUGGGGAUCAAACAGG
rnacentral:rRNA from 1 species